GGAAUUUUCCGCAAUGGGCGAAAGCCUGACGGAGCAACGCCGCGUGAGGGAUGAAGGCCUCUGGGCUGUAGACCUCUUUUAUCAAGGAAGAUCUGACGGUACUUGAUGAAUAAGCCACGGCCAAUUCCGUGCCAGCAGCCGCGGUAAUACGGGAGUGGCAAGCGUUAUCCGGAAUUAUUGGGCGUAAAGCGUCCGCAGGCGGUCUGUCAAGUCUGCUGUUAAAGCGUGGGGCUUAACUCCAUUUCGGCAGUGGAAACUGACAGACUAGAGUAUGGUAGGGGCAGAGGGAAUUCCCGGUGUAGCGGUGAAAUGCGUAGAUAUCGGGAAGAACACCAGUGGCGAAGGCGCUCUGCUGGGCCAUAACUGACGCUCAUGGACGAAAGCCAGGGGAGCGAAAGGGAUUAGAUACCCCAGUAGUC
rnacentral:rRNA from 1 species